rnacentral:rRNA from 1 species
CGCCUGUUUAUCAAAAACAUCGCCUCUUGGAUAGAUAUAAGAGGUCCCGCCUGCCCAGUGACCCCAGUUCAACGGCCACGGUAUCCUGACCGCGCGAAGGUAGCGUAAUCACUUGUUCUUUAAAUUAGGACUAGUAUGAACGGCACCACGAGGGUUAUACUGUCUCCUUUUUCUAAUCAGUGAAACUAAUCUCCCCGUGAAGAGGCGGGGAUAAAACUAUAAGACGAGAAGACCCUAUGGAGCUUUAAAUUUUUAUUUCAACUGCCGCACCUAUGAGAAGUUCCGACUACCCACAAUUUACUAAGCUUUAUGAUAAUAAGUUUUAGGUUGGGGCGACCAUGGAGAAUAAAAAAACCUCCACAUUGAAUUAGGCCUCUUAGCCUUGAGCCGAGAACUACGACUCUGUGCACUAAAACAUUAACAUCCAUUGACCCAAUUAUUUGAGCAACGAACCAAGUUACCCUAGGGAUAACAGCGCAAUCCACUUUAAGAGCCCCCAUCGACAAGUGGGUUUACGACCUCGAUGUUGGAUCAGGGUAUCCCAGUGGUGCAGCCGCUACUAAAGGUUC